UACGAAGGGUGCAAACGUUGCUCGGAAUCAUUGGGCGUAAAGCGCACGUAGGCGGCCCUGUAAGUCGGAUGUGAAAUCCCUCGGCUCAACCGAGGACGUGCAUCCGAAACUGCAGAGCUCGAGUAUGGAAGAGGGUCGCGGAAUUCCCGGUGUAGAGGUGAAAUUCGUAGAUAUCGGGAGGAACACCAGUGGCGAAGGCGGCGACCUGGGCCAAUACUGACGCUGAGGUGCGAAAGCGUGGGGAGCAAACAGGG
rnacentral:rRNA from 1 species